rnacentral:lncRNA from 1 species
UAAAUGCAGUUGCAAUUACAACGGUAUUGAAAUAAUAAUAAAGCAGUAAAGGAGCAGUUAAAAGAAAGGAAAGACAUGAAGACCCAAGUUAGUUUUCGUGAUGAAAUAAUCAAAGGGGCAAGAAGUAAAGGCACUUAAUGAAGCAAUAAGGUCACAAAAAGCAUGUAAUGGUAAAAAGCCUAAGGAAAUCCCCAGCAGAUUCACCAUGCUGUUGACGUUUCCUCUUUCUAUCGCGGACGGGCUGUCCGUAAAUCAGGUGUACGACAUUAUGGGAGGGAAACUCUUCUUCUCUUGCGAGAAUUGGGUUAUGGAAUUUUAUAGAGUCGCCAACUAAUGAUUGUAGUUCAUUAUGACACUUUAAUAGGUGAAGAAUUUUGAGAAGAAGGAAACCACAGUUCGGGUAAGGGCUUAGAGAUUAUCUCGAGGGGAAGGUGUAAGGCACCCCUCAAGAUCCACUAGUGUGGUUCCCGGCCAUGCUAUAGUUGUGACUUUAAGAAAAUAGAAGAAGCAAGUAAAGUUUGCACAUAAGGAUCACCAAAAAAAUUUGAAAGCUUAAAUAAAAGAAAGGAAUACAAUUUUAGAAAAAGGGAUUAUUUGAAGAAAACAUAAUUUAAAGAAAUAUUUGCAAGAAAAGGGAAAGAGGUCCUAGGUUUAUACAAAAUAUGAAUCACAUCAAUGCAAUAUCUAGAAAUCACUCCUCAAAAGAGGGGUCACACCUGAUAUUAGCGCACCGGUCAUCAUAUCCAUAUUCUACCCUUCCCACCCCGUUAAGGUAUUUAAAUGCGAUUAGUCUCGUUUACUUAUUUCAUCCUAAUACCCAUCCCAACCUAUUAGUCCCGAGGUAUUAGGACUUUUAAUCCUAAAGGGGAAAGAAAGGGAUUAAAGCAUAUAUGGGGUUCAAAGGAUAAAAAUCUAAUUUUGACAUACAAAAAAAAGUGACAAGUAGAGGGAUGAACAAACAAAUUGGUAAGACUCAAGUAAUCCCCUUAAUAAAACAAACACUUAGUUUAGCAUGUCAUGGCACAUACUGAUUUGGUCUUUAAAAUAAACUUAAACAGUGAACGAACUGGUUUAACACAUAUAUUUAGAUAGAAAGUCUGCAUUAGGAAACUUUGAUCCGAUUGCCAGAAAUUAAGGUACUUUAAGCGACUGAUUUAAAAGGUACUGAUUUUAGUAAGAAGUAGUCUAAUAUAGAAGAGCUUUGAAAAGAAAGCAUAGACUGCAGUAAAUUGAGAAAAAGAAAAUCAUCAGACUCUGAGUAUAAAAACACAGAAAUGGUUGUGAAAGAGUUUCAGAGACAGAAAUAUUUAAGGAAAGGGUAAGUUGCAAAACUUUUUUAAAAGACAAUUUCAGGGUAAGUGUAAAAUAUUUAGGCAGAAUGUUUAGAAAGAAACUAUUUCAGAAAAGAUGCCGAUUUGAGGAACUUAAAAGUAUACUGGUUCAAAAGAGUUUUUGUCAAUGUAUUAAGGCUUUCGAAAACAUUACUGUAUUAAGACAUUAAGGACCGGUUAAUCGGUCAUUAUUACUUUAAGCAAAUCAGACGAGUUUGAUGCAAGUCUUAUGGGCAUGAUAUCUAUACUUUAAUUUUUUAAAGCAUGUUAAGGAAUUUAUGAAUAAAUGAUUGUACCCUACGUUUUGCCUAAUGCAUAUGCAUUCCUUAUAGGCAUGAUUUCUAUAUGCAUUGAUUACCUGAACAUUAAGUCCUACAGGCAUGAUUUUUAUAUGACUUGGAAUCAGAAAUUUUGAACAAUCCUAUAGGCAGGAUUUCUAGAAGAAUUAAAAUCCUAAAGCAUGGUUUCUACCCCUUUUGAUACAUGAAUGUAAAACCUGCCCACACCCUUUUACUAUAUUCCCCAAGUUCUUUAUACAAACUAUUACAGACCAAAAGAAAGAAAGAAAAUACAUUAAAAACUAACAGCCAGAUCCGAGCAGCCUAAUUCAAUCUUAAUGUCCAAUAACAUGUGAUUAACCAAUUUCGGAAUCCAGAUUUCCAAAGCCUUCUCUUUAUCCAAAGUGUUUCAAAGUUCCAAUGAACAUCAAGGACUCCCGUCGUUGCUUACACUCAGGAUACCAUUAAGAAUUAGAAUAGUGCAGUGCGGAUUAGCCACCCCUCAGGCAUCCACAUUCAGAUGGAGCUCCAGGGUCCCAAAGCAUGGCCUGCAAGAGAAGGGUGGAACUUAGAGCUAGGAGUAAGUGCAAAGUGAAAAGUAAUUGGGGAGCCAUAACAAAUGGUGGUCAUACCCAGACACAGGUGCAGACUGGCACACCCUUGACCAUUUGUUUGGUUAAAACAAGUUAGGAGCAGACCUUAAAGGUCAAACCUAAGUCUGGAUAGUGAUUAGGACACCACCAGACUCAAGUCUAGGCUCAAGCCCAUAAAAGGGAAAAGGGAGGGGGAAUUGAUUGAGUUAGGAGGUUCAAAGAACCCAGUUCAGAGUCAUAGACAACAAUAUCAAAGUGUUGUUAUGGCUAGAACUAUACUCACAUACAAAGGGGAAAGGGAAAUGGGUUCACAUAAGAGAAGUAGUAACAGGAUUGAAGAAACAUAGUGAGGAAAACACAACAAACUUAGAAAGUGAACAUGUAGUGGAAGAGCCUUAUUUAAAUUAAAAUAAAAUACCAGCUACAAAGUGAUAACAAGCAGAACAAUAGAGCAAUUAUGGCUGGUAAACACAACAGGAGUAGACUUAAGUUCAGCAGAACACUUGAGAGUUUAGAGAGAGCUCAAAAAUUGUUUCAGAAAGCACAAAGUAGAAAAAGAGAGUACAAUUUUUUUGUGAAAGAACUCAGUAUUCAAGUGUGUAACAACCUGUGCUUUUGUGCAGAAAAUUAUGUGAAAGCAUGUCCUUUAGUGCAAAAGGGCAGGCCCUUUUAUAGUGCAGAAGGUGAGUAAGAAAAGGUAUGAGAAUAGUUUUGAAAUCAAUCACAAGUUGUUUCCUUUAAAUUAAGGGAUUUGAUUCAAACGGGAAAAAUAAAUAAGGAAAGGAUUUGUACUAAAGAUCUUUUCUAAAGCAGUGUAAUAGAGAUAAAUACAGAGAAGUUUAAUUAAGGAAAUAGUCUACUAGUACACGGUUUGGGUAGAACAAGGAAAGAUAAUCAAUCAACAGCCUGUAAAAUCAGGAUUCGAAUCUUAGUGUGAAUGAAUCCAACCAGAAAAAGGUGAGAAGGGGUUUGAUUUAAAGAAAAUCAACAACACACAAUCAAACCUUUUAAAAAGGAACUCAAAAUCAAUCACAAGCUGGCCAAAGGCCUUUUGAAAGAGGGAGUUUUUAAUAUAAAAAGCAUACAGACAUGUGAGACAAUAGAGAGUUGUCGUAAAACUAGCAAGAAAUCGGAGUUACCAAGAAGGUUAGGUUCAUAGACUCAGAAUGAGUCUGAAAGAUAGUCAAUGGUUCUGAAUGGAACCCUAGACCAAACACAAAGUCAAGCCUGCUAAAAGCCCCAAAUACUAGGGUUUCUGACUCGAAUCAUAUACAUAGACGAGUAAACAACAAAUAGAACAGGCUCAGAAGUCUCUUUCGGAGACUUAUGAGAAAACAAACAGAGAAAACAACAAGUUUGAAACACAGAGAAUACAUUCAGGCAAAUCUUGUCACUCAAACAAGUUCAGAAAAGAAAAAGCGUUAGUAGAUGAAACAUGCUUAGGGUUCGAACAAAGUCCAGUAAUGGCAAGCAAGAAACAAAAUCUUAGUAAAAAUUCAGAACAGGAACAUAUGAGAUAGACAUCUAGAAGUAUGCUUAUAGAACCCAGUAGAGGGAAAAACAGAACACAAAGUAGAAGAACAUGCAUAAUAUGGCAAAACAUAAAAACACAGGAGCAGACAUGAGAGGAAAGAACAUAAGAACAUGGCAUAGACAGAUUCACACAAACAAAAGAAGAAGAAUAAAGUCAGAAGUCGUUUUAAGAUUUUCCAUAAACCCUAAAUUGAAACAGACUAAUUUUGAAAAUAAAAUUGGGAAAAAGCUUUAAAACGUUGAAUAUAGCACAGAUUCACAACAAAUCUAAGUAAAUAAAAGUGGAAGGAACCUCGAAUAGCAUUAAGGUUUCUAUGAAACCCUAGAAAUGGAAGGCUUGGAAGAGAUAUGGUCUUGAGUCACUGAUGGCCAUGUCUAGGCUUCUAAAGCUCGAAUACGUCAGAACAGGGCCAGAGAGGCCACAUGAACACAGAUAUGAGAAGAUCUGAACGAACGUCGUCGAGGCCAGACCUCAAAAUCUCGAACACCCAUGGAUUAGGAGUGAAGGAAGGUGAGCACAGGUCGCCCAUGGCCUGAAAAGUCAUGGACUCCAGCGAGAUAAUGGUCGGAGAAGACGAGGGAGGCGAUUAGGGGUUGAGUGCUUGAGAGCGUUUUGAGAGAGAAGAGAUUUCAAAGGCUGUUG